ACGCGCGGAACCUUACCAGGUCUUGACAUCCUCUGACACUCCUAGAGAUAGGACGUUCCCCUUCGGGGGACAGAGUGACAGGUGGUGCAUGGUUGUCGUCAGCUCGUGUCGUGAGAUGUUGGGUUAAGUCCCGCAACGAGCGCAACCCUUGAUCUUAGUUGCCAGCAUUUAGUUGGGCACUCUAAGGUGACUGCCGGUGACAAACCGGAGGAAGGUGGGGAUGACGUCAAAUCAUCAUGCCCCUUAUGACCUGGGCUACACACGUGCUACAAUGGAUGGUACAAAGGGCAGCAAAGCGGUGACGCCUAGCAAAUCCCAUAAAACCAUUCUCAGUUCGGAUUGUAGGCUGCAACUCGCCUACAUGAAGCCGGAAUCGCUAGUAAUCGCGGAUCAGCAUGCCGCGGUGAAUACGUUCCCGGGCCUUGCACACACCGCCCGU
rnacentral:rRNA from 1 species